GAAAUGCGAUAAGUAAUGUGAAUUGCAGAAUUCAGUGAAUCAUCGAAUCUUUGAACGCACCUUGCGCUCCUUGGUAUUCCUUGGAGCAUGCCUGUUUGAGUAUCAUGAAAUCUUCAAAGUAAAUCUUUUGUUAACUCAAUUGGUUUCUACUUUGGUAUUGGAGGUCUUUGCAGCUUCACACCUGCUCCUCUUUGUUCAUUAGCUGGAUCUCAGUGUUAUGCUUGGUUCCACUCGGCGUGAUAAGUUAUCUAUCGCUGAGGAAACUGUAAAAGGUGGCCAAGGUAAAUGCAGAUGAACCGCUUCUAAUAGUCCAUUGACUUGGACAAUACUUUUAUGAUCUGAUCUCAAAUCAGGUAGGAAUACCCGCUGAACUUAAGC
rnacentral:misc_RNA from 1 species